CCGGUGAUCUAGCCAUGGGCAGGUUGAAGGUUGGGUAACACUAACUGGAGGACCGAACCGACUAAUGUUGAAAAAUUAGCGGAUGACCUGUGGCUGGGGGUGAAAGGCCAAUCAAACCGGGAGAUAGCUGGUUCUCCCCGAAAGCUAUUUAGGUAGCGCCUCGUGAAUUCAUCUCCGGGGGUAGAGCACUGUUUCGGCUAGGGGGCCAUCCCGGCUUACCAACCCGAUGCAAACUGCGAAUACCGGAGAAUGUUAUCACGGGAGACACACGGCGGGUGCUAACGUCCGUCGUGAAGAGGGAAACAACCCAGACCGCCAGCUAAGGUCCCAAAGUCAUAGUUAAGUGGGAAACGAUGUGGGAAGGCCCAGACAGCCAGGAUGUUGGCUUAGAAGCAGCCAUCAUUUAAAGAAAGCGUAAUAGCUCACUGGUCGAGUCGGCCUGCGCGGAAGAUGUAACGGGGCUAAACCAUGCACCGAAGCUGCGGCAGCGACACUGUGUGUUGUUGGGUAGGGGAGCGUUCUGUAAGCCUGUGAAGGUGUGUCGUGAGGCAUGCUGGAGGUAUCAGAAGUGCGAAUGCUGACAUAAGUAACGAUAAAGCGGGUGAAAAGCCCGCUCGCCGGAAGACCAAGGGUUCCUGUCCAACGUUAAUCGGGGCAGGGUGAGUCGACCCCUAAGGCGAGGCCGAAAGGCGUAGUCGAUGGGAAACGGGUUAAUAUUCCCGUACUUGGUGUUACUGCGAAGGGGGGACGGAGAAGGCUAUGUUGGCCGGGCGACGGUUGUCCCGGUUUAAGCGUGUAGGUGUGUGUUCCAGGUAAAUCCGGUUCACUUUAACACUGAGGCGUGACGACGAGGCACUACGGUGCUGAAGCAACAAAUGCCCUGCUUCCAGGAAAAGCCUCUAAGCAUCAGGUAACAUCAAAUCGUACCCCAAACCGACACAGGUGGUCAGGUAGAGAAUACCAAGGCGCUUGAGAGAACUCGGGUGAAGGAACUAGGCAAAAUGGUGCCGUAACUUCGGGAGAAGGCACGCUGACACGUAGGUGAAGUGAUUUACUCAUGGAGCUGAAGUCAGUCGAAGAUACCAGCUGGCUGCAACUGUUUAUUAAAAACACAGCACUGUGCAAACACGAAAGUGGACGUAUACGGUGUGACGCCUGCCCGGUGCCGGAAGGUUAAUUGAUGGGGUCAGCGCAAGCGAAGCUCCUGAUCGAAGCCCCGGUAAACGGCGGCCGUAACUAUAACGGUCCUAAGGUAGCGAAAUUCCUUGUCGGGUAAGUUCCGACCUGCACGAAUGGCGUAAUGAUGGCCAGGCUGUCUCCACCCGAGACUCAGUGAAAUUGAACUCGCUGUGAAGAUGCAGUGUACCCGCGGCAAGACGGAAAGACCCCGUGAACCUUUACUAUAGCUUGACACUGAACAUUGAGCCUUGAUGUGUAGGAUAGGUGGGAGGCUUUGAAGUGUGGACGCCAGUCUGCAUGGAGCCGACCUUGAAAUACCACCCUUUAAUGUUUGAUGUUCUAACGUGGACCCGUGAUCCGGGUUGCGGACAGUGUCUGGUGGGUAGUUUGACUGGGGCGGUCUCCUCCUAAAGAGUAACGGAGGAGCACGAAGGUUGGCUAAUCCUGGUCGGACAUCAGGAGGUUAGUGCAAUGGCAUAAGCCAGCUUGACUGCGAGCGUGACGGCGCGAGCAGGUGCGAAAGCAGGUCAUAGUGAUCCGGUGGUUCUGAAUGGAAGGGCCAUCGCUCAACGGAUAAAAGGUACUCCGGGGAUAACAGGCUGAUACCGCCCAAGAGUUCAUAUCGACGGCGGUGUUUGGCACCUCGAUGUCGGCUCAUCACAUCCUGGGGCUGAAGUAGGUCCCAAGGGUAUGGCUGUUCGCCAUUUAAAGUGGUACGCGAGCUGGGUUUAGAACGUCGUGAGACAGUUCGGUCCCUAUCUGCCGUGGGCGCUGGAGAACUGAGGGGGGCUGCUCCUAGUACGAGAGGACCGGAGUGGACGCAUCACUGGUGUUCGGGUUGUCAUGCCAAUGGCACUGCCCGGUAGCUAAAUGCGGAAGAGAUAAGUGCUGAAAGCAUCUAAGCACGAAACUUGCCCCGAG
rnacentral:rRNA from 1 species